ensembl:lncRNA
UGAGCUGGCCAUCCGGCGGGCAGUCAAGGGACACUGCCAUCCCCAGCCCUCCGCACUGAGGGCCACAGCUGCAGUAUGGCAGCUGGCCUUGCAAAGCCCAGCUUUAAUGAUGGUCUUGGCCCUUAUUAAGCUCCUAAGAGUCAUCCUGAAGCAAGCCAUGGGCUAACAGCAAUACCAAGAGGAGAUUCAGCUGCGUCAGAUCCCAGUUGCAGCCUUCUCGAUCUUUCACUGUGGCAUACAGGCUCUCUAGUUCCGACCGUCCCUCCCUUUCCUGAGUGCUCAGUUGUGUCUGACUCUUUUCGACCCACGGACUGUAGACCACCAGGCUCCUCUGUCCAUGGGACUCUCCAGGCAAGAAUACUGGAGUGGGUUGCCAUUUUCUUUAAGGGAUCUUCCCGACCCAGGGAUCCAACACAUGUCUCCCAUGUUGGCAGGAAUAUUCAACUGCUUGGGUGUGGGCCCAAAGGAGGCAGAGAAGCUGGUUCACUGACUGCUGAGGUUUUUUUAGAUAAGCUGUUCUCUAAGAGUCAGACACGACUGAGCGACUUCACUUUCACUCUUCACUUUCAUGCAUUGGAGGAGGAAAUGCCAACCCACUCCAGUGUUCUUGCCUGGAGAAUCCCAGGGACGGGGGAGCCUGGUGGGCUGCCGUCUAUGGGGUCGCACAGAGUCGGACACGACUGAAGCGACUUAGCAGCAGCAGCAGCAGCAUCUUUUAUUUAGAUGCUGAUUGUAUUAUUUAGGGGUGUCAUAUCUGUAUCCUUGAUCUCCUCAGCUAGGUUUAAAUCCACUCAGUAUAUGUGGACCAGUUUGCUAAUUCUCUUCUCCAUAGUAUCUACUCCAGUGGAGGCAGAGAGUCAAUAUUUGGUAGGUGCUUUUUGAAAAAAUGAUACAUUCUGUAAUUAAUUCUUGAAAUAAUAAAUCCUCAUUUGAAAAUUUGCUCAUCUUCUUAGAUAGCCACUGUUCCCAUGACCUAGCACUUAAUGUAGCGUUCAGAUUGCCUGGGUACAAAUUGUAGCUGUGUCUCUUACUAGGUGUGUGACCCUGGGCGAAACGCUUAAUAUUUCUGUACCUCAGUGUCCUUGUCUGUAAAACAAAGACUGUUAAAUUAUUGCAUAUUUGUUUUGAUGAAUAAAUUAGUAUGUGUAAAAU